rnacentral:tRNA from 1 species
GGGCCGACGGGGGCCGUGGUGCCGUCCGGGGCGGUGGGGCCGCCCGGCCCGGCCGUUCCGUGCGUCCUCUGCUCGCC